rnacentral:rRNA from 1 species
UACGUAGGCAGCGAGCGUUGUUCGGAAUUACUGGGCGUAAAGAGUGUGUAGGCGGUGCUCUAAGUUCGGUGUGAAAUCUCCUGGCUUAACUGGGAGGGUGCGCCGGAAACUGGAGUGCUUGAGCGUGGGAGAGGAAAGCGGAAUUCCUGGUGUAGCGGUGAAAUGCGUAGAUAUCAGGAGGAACACCUGUGGUGUAGACGGCUUUCUGGACCAUUGCUGACGCUGAGACACGAAAGCGUGGGGAGCAAACAGG